ACGAACGCUGGCGGCGUGCUUAACACAUGCAAGUCGAACGGAAAGGCCCUGCUUUUGUGGGGUGCUCGAGUGGCGAACGGGUGAGUAACACGUGAGUAACCUGCCCUUGACUUUGGGAUAACUUCAGGAAACUGGGGCUAAUACCGGAUAGGAGCUCCUGCUGCAUGGUGGGGGUUGGAAAGUUUCGGCGGUUGGGGAUGGACUCGCGGCUUAUCAGCUUGUUGGUGGGGUAGUGGCUUACCAAGGCUUUGACGGGUAGCCGGCCUGAGAGGGUGACCGGCCACAUUGGGACUGAGAUACGGCCCAGACUCCUACGGGAGGCAGCAGUGGGGAAUAUUGCACAAUGGGCGGAAGCCUGAUGCAGCAACGCCGCGUGCGGGAUGACGGCCUUCGGGUUGUAAACCGCUUUCGCCUGUGACGAAGCGUGAGUGACGGUAAUGGGUAAAGAAGCACCGGCUAACUACGUGCCAGCAGCCGCGGUGAUACGUAGGGUGCGAGCGUUGUCCGGAUUUAUUGGGCGUAAAGGGCUCGUAGGUGGUUGAUCGCGUCGGAAGUGUAAUCUUGGGGCUUAACCCUGAGCGUGCUUUCGAUACGGGUUGACUUGAGGAAGGUAGGGGAGAAUGGAAUUCCUGGUGGAGCGGUGGAAUGCGCAGAUAUCAGGAGGAACACCAGUGGCGAAGGCGGUUCUCUGGGCCUUUCCUGACGCUGAGGAGCGAAAGCGUGGGGAGCGAACAGGCUUAGAUACCCUGGUAGUCCACGCUGUAAACGGUGGGUACUAGGUGUGGGGUCCAUUCCACGGGUUCCGUGCCGUAGCUAACGCUUUAAGUACCCCGCCUGGGGAGUACGGCCGCAAGGCUAAAACUCAAAGGAAUUGACGGGGCCCCGCACAAGCGGCGGAGCAUGCGGAUUAAUUCGAUGCAACGCGUAGAACCUUACCUGGGUUUGACAUGGAUCGGGAGUGCUCAGAGAUGGGUGUGCCUCUUUUGGGGUCGGUUCACAGGUGGUGCAUGGCUGUCGUCAGCUCGUGUCGUGAGAUGUUGGGUUAAGUCCCGCAACGAGCGCAACCCUUGUUCACUGUUGCCAGCACGUUAUGGUGGGGACUCAGUGGAGACCGCCGGGGUCAACUCGGAGGAAGGUGGGGAUGACGUCAAGUCAUCAUGCCCCUUAUGUCCAGGGCUUCACGCAUGCUACAAUGGCUGGUACAGAGAGUGGCGAGCCUGUGAGGGUGAGCGAAUCUCGGAAAGCCGGUCUCAGUUCGGAUUGGGGUCUGCAACUCGACCUCAUGAAGUCGGAGUCGCUAGUAAUCGCAGAUCAGCAACGCUGCGGUGAAUACGUUCCCGGGGCUUGUACACACCGCCCGUCAAGUCAUGAAAGUUGGUAACACCCGAAGCCGGUGGCCUAACCGUUGUGGGGGAGCCGUCGAAGGUGGGACUGGUGAUUAGGACUAAG
rnacentral:rRNA from 1 species